CCCUGGUUAGCUCAGUUGGUAGAGCGCUCCACUGGAAAUAGAGAAGUGCCGGGUUCGAUACCCGGACCAGCCG
rnacentral:tRNA from 1 species